UGGAGCGCUGAGGUCAGAGCCAGUCUCUGGCGUCCGAGUCGUGGCUUUGCCACUUCCUCAGCCAGAUGACCUUUGCAGAGUUUCUCUUCCCUAAAGCAAGAACACAAAAACCUCCCUCGCAGGAUGUUUGUGAUGCUAAAACAGGCAAAGCACACGCAGGCACAGCACAAUGCCUGGCACACAGUGAGUGCUCUGUAAGGUCAGCAGCUGUCAUCACCACUUAGUACUGACCAGCACGCGACAGCUAAGCCAGCGGCGGCAAAGCUGGAAUUCGAACCGAGGUCUUGACAUCUUCCCUCCGCAGCAGCCUCUGCUCACAGCAACUCCAACCUCCUCUGAGAAGGGUAACUGGGAUACUAAACAGCUAUGUCACACUUGGAAGUUCCAUCCACAAAGCUUCACCUGGGACAAGCCCUACCCUCCUUUAAAAAGCAAUGUCCCGGGCCAGGCAUGGUCACACCUGUAAUCCCAGCACUUUGGGAGGCCGAGGUGGGCAGAUCACUUGAGCCCAGGAGUUUGAGACCAGCCUGGGCAACAUGGUGAGACCCUGUCUUUACAAAAAAUAGAAAAAUUAGCUGGGCAUGAUGGCACACGCCUGUGGUCCCAGCUCCUCAGGAUGCUGAGGCGGGAGGAUCGUUUGAGCCUGGGAGGUCGAGGCUGCAGUGAGCAUGAUUGCGCCACUGCACUGCAGCCUGGGCAACAGAGUGAGACUCUGUCUCAAAACAAACAAACAAACAAACAAACAAACAAACAAAAGGUCUCAAAAAUUAGGGAAGGUGGGUUGGACCAAGGCCAUUUCAUUAAGCUAUAGUCAUCUGAGUUCAAAUAUUUAGUGACUUUCCAGGAGAAAGGGACAUAGGAGUACUGAGCCCAAACUCUCCUGACUGAGCAGUUAUGCAAGAGGCGGACAACAUCCAGGAAAUAGGACAUGAUUUCGGGGACUGAAUUCAGAAACUUCAAAGGCCACGAGAGAAAUGGUGCCUGCACCAUGGGGGUGGGGAACAUCCAACACACCUAUGUCAGACUUUCAAGCUUCAGCAUGGAGUUCCCUCCCCCAACACAGCCUGUCCACCUGUCCGAGAGACAGCUGUCUUGAAAAUCACCCCCGCCCCCACACCAGUCAAUGACGUGCUCUAUUCCUGCUCACAGGAUGUGCAUGCCUUGAGCUACUAAUCUUCAGAAAUAAAACUGUUCCAGAACAAAGGAACAUUUUUUCAGAAUUACAUCUCUUAGCCACAAAGAAAGGCGACUUCAGAUCUAACCUAGAUGUGAAAGACAGCCCUGCAUCAGAACCACAGUCACAGGCUCCAGAUGCAAUUCCCACUUCCUGUCUGCAAGACCCUGGCCAAGUUGCUUAACUUCUCUGAAGCUGCUUCCUCAUCUCUAAAGUGGGAGUGAGGGGGUGAUUAUAAUAGAGUUUUGAGGCCAGGCACAGUGGCUCAUGCCUGUAAUCCCAGCACUUUGGGAGGCCAAGGCAGGUGGAUUGCUUGAGCUCAGGAGUUGGAGACCAGCCUGGGCCAACAUGGUAAAACCCUGUCUCCAUAAAAAAAUACAAAAAACUAGCCAGGCCUGGUGGUAUGUGCCUGUAGUCCCAGCUACUCGGGAGGCUGAGGUAGGAGGAUUGUUUGAGUCCCGGGAGGUGGGGGUUGCAGUGAGCUGAGAUCUCACUACUGCUCUCUAGCCUGGGUGACAGAGUAAGACCCCGCCACCAAAACAAAGAAAAUUAUAGGACCAAAGAUGCCCAAAGAGGCCUGAGUCACAGGUUACAGAAAGAGAAAAAACAACAACAACAAAAAAAAACAAAGAGGUUGCCGUGAGCCGAGAUCCUGCCACUGCACUCCAGCCUGGGUGACAGAGUGAGAUGCUCUCUUAAAAUUAGGGCUUUGCAAAUUCAUAAGGCCUAUUGCCUUGAGUACCAUAUAGAGGCCCAAGCCAUAAAAUGCAAUGUUGAUUAUUACUAUUUUGAUUAUUGCUGCUUGGCUUUGAGGAGGGAGUGUUUUUAGAAAAAAAAGAGGUGUCUGGACCCAACAGGAAUAUGUUGCUAGGCUAGUCAAAGCUUGCUGGGCUUUUUAUGAGGCUGGUUUAUCAGCUGUGCUGGGGUAGCUGAGCUCAAACCCGGGGCCAUUUGAUAACCCACUGAUUAGUGAACAGCAAUCAAUCAAGUGCUGCCUCAAACCGGCUCUAGAAAAUGCUCCAAGCACGCUCUCCCAGAUGCUAGACAAUGUGAUCUAAUCAUUUCACCGAGGCUUGGGAGAUUUUUUUUUUUUCCCUUCCUCAGAAUUUCUGGGCUCCACCCUAGAGCCUGGUCUGGAAGGCACUGAGGAACUUGCAUUUUUCACAGUCCCCUGGUGGUUCUGAUGAAGCGGACCCUCUGACUGAACUUGUAGAGAAACACUAGGCAUGGCUCCAGGUUGGAGAUUAGUGAUGGAGAGAUGCAGCUGCUCUGUCCUCCCGGUGGACUUGGCCCAAUAGCUGGGGCCUCUUUGGGCAACAGCUGUAGCUACUGGCAUGGGGUGGGACGCCCUGGGCAGGGGUCUUCUCUUGGGUCACUGGAUUUAUAAUUACUUGUAUUGGCAAAUCCCACAAAGGCUGGUGGGUGGGGGAUUGAUUUUCCCUGUGAGUUUGGGGGAUGGUGGUAGGGAUGGGGGGUGGGAAGGGAGAGAUUCCAACAGGUGGUCACCUCCCGGGAUGAAAUUCUUCAUCUUAUGGCUUAAGAGACUGAGAGACUGAUUCUUUUUUUUUUUUUGCUUUCUUUUUUUUUCUUUUGGUAGUGACAGGGUCUCACUAUGUUGCCCAGGCUGUUCUCCAACUCCUGGGCUCGAUCAAUCCUUCAGCCUCAGCCUCCCAAAGUGCUGGGAUUACAGGCAUGAGCCACUAUGCCCAGCUGAGACUCAUUUUAAUGAGUCAUUUUAAUGACAAAUAAAUGCCCAGCUGAGACUCAUUUUAAUGACAAAUAAACUUAGAAUCACAGCAUGUUAGCAUGAAAGAGAAUCUUGGAAAUACUUUUGUUAACUCUUUAUAAUUAGGGAAACUGAGGCUAGAGAGACAUGGGGUCUUACCCAAGGCCACACAGUGGGCUAAUCGCAUAGACAAAAUGCACACAUGCCUCUCUGAACAGAGGCGGCACUCAUUAAGCCGUGGUCUGGCACACCCAUGCACACCCACCAGGCACCAUACCCAAGGAAGAGUCUGGGGAGGCGUCCCAGGACAAAGCCAUUUCCACUGUCUUGCGCUCGGACCCAGCGCUCACCCUGGACCAAUCUUGUCCUAGGAACAUUCUCUGCUAGGUGUUGGCAAGAGGUUUGGAGAUAAGCCCAGCCCCUUUCCUUAUCACUGUUCUCCAAGGAAACACGGGGCACUUUCUUUGUACAAAAAAAUCAUGUCCCUAAAGCCCCAGGAAGCAUUGUUCUGGGCAGAGCCAGCUUCCUGGGUGUGCAACCAGCACAGUCACACGGGGCCUUCUGCUCCGGAGGGUCCCUUGUUUAUCUAAUGCCCUGCUCUCACCGUCUUGACAUUCUUCUUUUUUUCUUUUUUUCUAAUGCCUUAAGUCACACAAGAAAAUGUUGCAAGCGGCAGUUCAACACAAUUGACUACACUAUAAAUUAUAUCACUAUCUGCAGCUGGGCACCGUGGCUCACGCCUGUAAUCCCAGCACUUUGGGAGGCUGAGGUGGG
rnacentral:lncRNA from 1 species